rnacentral:tmRNA from 1 species
GGGGAUGUUCUGGUUUUGACAGCAAAUGAUGUCGGAUGGUAAGCAUGCCGAGCAAGGCGUCCUGCGCUCGUUAAUCUUCGGACGCACGCCAUAACUGGCAACAACAACUAUGCACUCGCUGCGUAACCUACUGAGUACGUUACCUUAAUCGCCCGGACAAGGUCCGUUGCGACGAGUAUCCCGCAGGGGUUUAAGCCCGCUCUCCCCUGCCCCCGGGAUAUCAUCCAAGCGGGAUGCACGCACCGACUCCGCUACCGUGCGCCAAGAUUUCGCGGAUAAGGUCCGUAUGGCCCGCCUGCCGGCAGUACGGUCCCGACAAUCAAAGGCCGGAUAAGUAUGUAGAAAGCCCUCGGGCACGUUGUUUGGACGGCGGUUCGACUCCGCCCAUCUCCACA